UGACACUACAUGACAUUAGGCAAGAAAACAAACCCAGAGGAAUGAUCCAUGUUAUCGUAUAAUUGAGAUGAGACACUCUCUGGCUCAGAAAUGUGCAAGACCUAAACACAGCUUGAGGUUAGAUCAAGUGCAUUAAAUCUGUAUGAGUAAACCACUCACAGGAAAAGAGAGGCAGGAAGUCAUAAACAGAGAAGACUGUGAUUUUAAAAGCUUUAACAAGAUGAUGAAACAACAGAGAAAAACAGAGGUCAUUUUUGUCUGGGUCUUAGCCAUCUGGCUCUCUUCAGUUGUCAACAGUGAAAAGAAUUUGGCAGUACGUCCAACUGGCCUCACAACCGCAGACCAUGUGUAAACACGCCAGACCAGGACCUUCACAUCUGGCUUCUUCACCUGCGGGAUCGUCUGAGACCAGCCACGUGAACAGCUGAUGAAACUGCGGGUUUGAACAACCAAAGAAUUUCUGCACAAACUGUCAGAAACCAUGUCAGGGAAGCUCAUCUGCGUGCUUGUCGUCCUCACCAGGGUCUUGACCUGACUGCAGUUUGGCGUCGUAACCAACUUCAGUGGGCAAAUGCUCACCUUCGAACACGGUGUCCACUCUCUCUGGUCAGUCUCACCAGAGGAAAGGAAGGAGAGAGCUGGGACCGUGAGAGGUGGUUGGGACAAGUCUUUUGAGCGGUCAUCCAGCUUGGAAUUCCAAGUCGGAAAACUCGGGCAUCUUUCUAGAGCUCCGACUUUUCGACCUGGAGAUCACUGACGUCGUGAUGCAGGUACCACCAGUCCAGUAAAAUAAAAAACAAAUUAUUUGCCUCACAAGUGCUAAACCAAUUGAUCUAUUUUGUUAUCAAAGCUCGAGUUCGAAAUAUAAUAUGGUCUUUGGCAGGCCAAUCAUAUAGCCAAUAUGCUGUGAUAAUGUAUUAGUCCUACGGCCCAAACCUUAGUCCUACGGCAAUACAUCUCUGCUUUCUUUUUGACUGCCAAAGUGAUCUUGACUCAGAAAAGGUUGGUGACCACUGCUCUGGAUGGAGGUGUACGACAGCGUGUUCCCGCCAAUAUCCAGCAACUUCGCACAGCCAUUGAAGAGGAGUGGGGCAACAUUCCACAGGCCACAAUCAACAGUCUGAUCAACUCUAUGCAUGAGCCAAAUGGUGGUCACACCAGAUACUGAAUGUUUUUUUGAUCUACGCCCCUACUUUUUAUUUGAUUUUUUAUCUGUGACCGACAGAUACAUAUCUGUAUUGCCAGUCAUGUGAAAUCCAUAGAUUAGGGUAUAAUGCUUUUAUUUAAAUUGACUGAUUUCCUUAUAUGAACUGUAAAUCAGCAAAAUCCUUUAAAGUGUUGCAUUUGAUUUAUUUUUGGUCAGUGUAAAUAGUGUGUGUAAGCAUGGAAAGCUUCCUAUACCUGGCGAUAUAACAGUUUCCUCUUUAUCCAUUCAUUCACAGGUAAAGUGGAGCUGAGAACCAGUACUGAGGUAAAGGCUCAGUGUGAUCAGAAUGUGUCCCUGCAGUGUGACAUCAUGUCAUCGAACCCACUCAAGAUCAUUCUCUUUUCCUGGGUAUGGAAAAUGAAACAGCUGUGUGUGGUCAAUGCCACUGGUGUAUUCUCCUUUCCUGGCGUCCGGUGUGACAUCACAAACAACACCCUCACACUCAAUCUGACUCGGGUGAUGCCGUCCAGUCAGGGUAACUACACCUGCAAACUGCGCUCCAACCUAACGAUCACAGCUGCCAACACCACUGUGACAAUGCAAGAGUGCCUAAGGACAUCUGAGCACAAAGUGUUCCAGAAUGAGUCUCAGGUUGAGUGCCAGUUUUUUGGAGUUUACCCAGAAGGCACAGUACACUGGUUACUGGGCUCUGAGAAUAUAACAGAGUCCGCCAGCACCAAGAGCCAGCUGGAUGAAGAGGGGCUGUUUGAUAUAAGGAGUACCCUGCCUACCCAGGCUGGGACUGAGCCUUACAACUGCUCCUUGUGGAUACCUAGUAGUGGAACCUACAGCUCUCACAAACAGCUGCACUACUCCAGAAUGAUCUCUUCAGGGACAAAGACUAGGAGCAGACUGCUGUUGGUCUUCAUCCUGGUUGGACUCAUAAUCAUAACAUAGGACUACUCAUGGAAAUGUCAGGAGGUUUUUUACUGAACAUGGGACUUCGAACUACAGUAGGGAAAAGGGCUUUCCUGGUCAGGGCACAUCUACACAGGAUGGAUCAGGGCCUUUCUCUUACUGAGUGAAGAGAAAGCAAACCUGGACUGCCAUGGCCAAAGUGGAUAUAUGUUUUCACUUUUUAUACUGGGAAGCAAAAUAUCAAAGUAAUUACAAUGAAUACAAUUGAAUUUUAAACUGAAAAUCAGUCUACAUUGGGAUUUGAGAAUACUGUAAGAAGUGUUCAUUGUUUGUCUUCAACGUUAUACACUUGUUUAAAUUGCAUUGCUUAUUACAGUAGUAGAAUACUGCUUCCUGGUGGUGAAAGUGUUUACUGAUGGAAAUAGUAUUGCUGUUAGAUGCGUAAUAAAGACAUUCUAAAUUGUA